rnacentral:rRNA from 1 species
GACGAACGCUGGCGGCGUGCUUAACACAUGCAAGUCGAACGGAAAGGCCCCUUUGGGGGUACUCGAGUGGCGAACGGGUGAGUAACACGUGAGUAACCUGCCCUUGACUUCGGGAUAACUUCAGGAAACUGGGGCUAAUACCGGAUAGGAAUCCUUGCUGCAUGGUGGGGGUUGGAAAGCUUCGGCGGUUUUGGAUGGACUCGCGGCUUAUCAGCUUGUUGGUGGGGUAGUGGCUUACCAAGGCUUUGACGGGUAGCCGGCCUGAGAGGGCGACCGGCCACAUUGGGACUGAGAUACGGCCCAGACUCCUACGGGAGGCAGCAGUGGGGAAUAUUGCACAAUGGGCGGAAGCCUGAUGCAGCAACGCCGCGGGCGGGAUGACGGCCUUCGGGUUGGAAACCGCUUUCAGCAGGGGCGAAGCUUGUGGUGACGGUACCUGCAGAAGAAGCACCGGCUAACUACGUG